UACGUAGGGUGCGAGCGUUGUCCGGAAUUAUUGGGCGUAAAGAGCUCGUAGGCGGUGUGUCACGUCGGCCGUGAAAACCUGCAGCUUAACUGUGGGCGUGCGGGCGAUACGGGCAGACUGGAGUACUGCAGGGGAGACUGGAAUUCCUGGUGUAGCGGUGGAAUGCGCAGAUAUCAGGAGGAACACCGAUUGCGAAGGCAGCUCGCUGGGACGUAACUGACGCUGAGACGCGAAAGCGUGGGGAGCAAACAGG
rnacentral:rRNA from 1 species